rnacentral:lncRNA from 1 species
CUGCGGAGCUGGGCCCUAGGCUGACCCUCGGGAAGCUGGGCGAGGUGAUAGUGGAGCUGCUGCCACAUGACCUGAGUCCAUGACUCAUUUUCCAUGGCCUCCAAGGGGAGAUAUUGGACACCUGGGAAAGCCUUCUGAAAUCCACACACACUUGAACAUCUCCCUGACCUGCUCAAGACUAUUCAGAUCUACAAAGUAAGUGCCAAACUCUAUGCUAUGGGCCCAACCACCCAGGCCAGGGCUGUUUCCAACCCAGGAGCCCUCAAGUAAUGGUGAAGGAUGACAAGGCCCCUGAUGCAGAAGAAGAGCCAUUUUAUUAGCACAUGGGCCAGCCAUCUGUGAGCACUGGGAAGCUGGGCCAGAGGAAAUGGAUUGAGCAGCAAGAAAUAGUUCUGUUGGGGGAAGACCCUAAUCAGGAUGGAGACUCAAGAUGUUUGUCUCUUUCUUUGGAUGUCAUUGUCCCAAGCUCCCGUCUGCCUUCUACCAGGAGAAGAACAGCCAGCCCCCAAAACCCUGGGGUGUGGGGAAGGGCACUUACCAGCUCAGCAGAG